rnacentral:ncRNA from 1 species
CAUAGGUUUGGUCCUGGCCUUUCUAUUAGUUAUCAGUAGACUUACACAUGCAAGAAUCCCCGCCCCUGUGAAAAUGCCCUUUAGGCCAUUAAAUGGCAAAAGGAGCCGGUAUCAAGCACACUAAAAGUAGCUCACAACACCUUGCUCAGCCACACCCCCACGGGAAACAGCAGUGAUAAAAAUUAAGCAAUAGGCGAAAGUCUGACUAAGUCAUACUACUAAGGACUGGUAAAUUUCGUGCCAGCCACCGCGGUCAUACGAUUGGGCCAAACUAAUAGACAUUCGGCGUAAAGAGUGUUUUAGAACUUCAACAAAUCAAUAAAGUCAAACCCUAACUAGGCUGUAAAAAGCCCUAGCUACUGGAAGAUAAGUAAUGAAAAUAACUUUAGAACAUCUGACUACACGAUAGCCAGGAUCCAAACUGGGAUUAGAUACCCCACUAUGCCUGGCCCUAAACAUAAAAAACUAUUAACAAAAUUCUUCGCCAGAGUACUACUAGCAAAAGCUAAAAACUCAAAGGACUUGGCGGUGCCUUACAUCCCUCUAGAGGAGCCUGUUCUAUAAUCGAUAAACCCCGAUAAACCUCACCAACUCUAGCCAAAUCAGCCUAUAUACCGCCAUCUCCAGCAAACCCUAAAAAGGAAGCACAGUAAGCACAAUCAUCAACAUAAAAACGUUAGGUCAAGGUGUAGCCAAUGAGUUGGGAAGAAAUGGGCUACAUUCCUCGGUUCGAGGAAAUACACGAAACCUCUUGUGAAACCAAGAGUCAAAGGUGGAUUUAGCAGUAAAUUAAGAAUAGAGCGCUUAAUUGAAUGAGGCCAUGAGGCACGCACACACCGCCCGUCACCCUCCUCAAGCAAAAUAUUAUAUUACUACAUAAGUUUYUAAUAAUCACCAACCUGCAAGAGGAGAUAA